GUUUGAUCCUGGCUCAGGAUGAACGCUGGCGGCGUGCAUAACACAUUCAAGUCGAACGGAGAGUUUUUCAUUAAUCCUUCGGGAAGCGUGAGGAACACUUAGUGGCGGACGGGUGAGUAACGCGUGAGCAACCUGCCUCUGUAUGAGGGAUAACGUCGGGAAACUGACGCUAAUACCUCAUGACACAUGGAGACCGCAUGGUUUUUAUGUCAAAGAUUUAUUGUACAGAGAUGGGCUCGCGUCCGAUUAGAUAGUUGGUAGGGUAACGGCCUACCAAGUCUGCGAUCGGUAGCCGGACUGAGAGGUUGAACGGCCACAUUGGAACUGAGAUACGGUCCAGACUCCUACGGGAGGCAGCAGUGGGGAAUAUUGGGCAAUGGGCGAAAGCCUGACCCAGCGACGUCGCGUGAGGGAAGAAGGUCUUCGGAUUGUAAACCUUUGUUGAUAGGGACGAAAAAGAUGACGGUACCUAUCGAGGAAGCCACGGCUAACUACGUGCCAGCAGCCGCGGUAAUACGUAGGUGGCGAGCGUUAUCCGGAUUUACUGGGUGUAAAGGGUGUGUAGGCGGAGAGACAAGUCAGGUGUGAAAUUUACGGGCUCAACUCGUGAACUGCGCCUGAAACUGUUUCCCUUGAGAGUCGGAGGGGUAGAUAGAAUUCCCGGUGUAGCGGUGAAAUGCGUAAUAUCGGGAGGAAUACCGGUGGCGAAGGCGAUCUACUGGACGACACUGACGCUGAAACACGAAAGUGUGGGGAGCAACAGGAUUAAUACCCCGGUAGUCCACACUGUAAACGAUGAAUGCUAGGUGUAG
rnacentral:rRNA from 1 species